AAUUGGUUACAUAAUUGAUUGGAUCUUGGGCAUCUCCAACAGGAAGAAGAACUUCUUUUUUUUUUUCUUCCACAUAACCAACAUAAGCUUCAGAAAAAAAUUGAUAAAAUUAAGGAACAUAUGUCUGUUAUUGUUCUACUUGAGAUUGAAAGGGGUGUUAGAGAGGUGUUGACUCAUGUGAAAGAGAAUCAUGUGAAUCAAAUAAGGGGUUUGUGUGGUGCUCCUGAAGAGCCUGUAUGCAUGGGAAUGGAUGAACCUUUGAAUAAGUUGAAGAUUGAGUUGAUGAAGGAUGGUGUUUCUGUACUUUUUUUGACUGGUUUGGGUGGAUCUGGUAAAAACCACUCUUGCCAAGAAGCUCUGUCCACCAAUCCACUAAUCAAAGAUAGUGACAGCUUGUAAGGGUUUACCAUUGGCGCUUGAGGUCAUAUCUGGAACACUUCGUAAUCAGCCUUUUGAGACAUGGCAAAAUAUGAAGGAACGUUUAACGUGUCAAUCCAUUCUUGAGUCUAAUAGAAAAGACUUGCUUUGCCUUCAACAAAGUUUUGAUAUAUCUGAAGAUAUCGAUAAGGAGUGCUUCAUGGAUAUGGGACUAUUUCCUGAAGACCAGAGGAUUCCUGUUACUGUCCUCAUUGAUAUGUGGGCAGUACUACAUGACUUCAAUGAAGAUAGUACAAACUACAAAGGCAAUGGCCAUUGUCCAUGAUUCAAUCACCAGAAAUUUGAUUGAUGUCAUAGCUACACGGAAAGUUGCAACAGGAACAGACACGUACUACAAUAAUCACUAUGUCAUGCAACAUGAUCUCCUCAGAGAUCUAGCAAUCCAUCAAAGCAAAGGGGAACCAUUUGAACAGAGAAAAAGAAUGAUCAUUGACUUAAAUGGAGACACUCGUCCUGAUUGGUGGAUUGGAUUGAUUGUUGCGAAUUGGAUGAGAAAACACACCAAUAACAAACUUGAUGUGUAGAGCAAGAGAUAAUCAAGCAACCAAAAACACAAAGUGUAUGGAACAAUUAUAAACACAAGCCAAAAGUCGAAAACAACAGCGAGAGAAAAGAA